rnacentral:rRNA from 1 species
GAGUUUGAUCGUGGCUCAGAAUCAACGCUGGCGGCGUGCCUAACACAUGCAAGUCGAACGCGGUUUCUUCUGCUUCGGCAACGAAGGUAGUUGGAACUGAGUGGCGAACGGGUGAGUAACGACGUGGGUGACCUACCUUCGAGUGGGGGAUAACGUCCCGAAAGGGACGGCUAAUACCGGACAUGACAUCCUGCCUUUCGAACAGGGACGGAGAGUCAAAGUCUGGGGAUCGCAAGACCCGGCGCUUGAU